rnacentral:tRNA from 6 species
CGCGGGGUGGAGCAGCCCGGUAGCUCGUCAGGCUCAUAACCUGAAGGCCGUCAGUUCAAAUCUGGCCCCCGCAACCA